rnacentral:misc_RNA from 1 species
GAAUAAACAAGCGGCUUGUCUGAAAUGCCUGAGUGUACCCCGCUUUGCGGCGUAUUCGGUGUGAUAAAUCUUCACCGGAGUUGAUCCCUUUAUGGGGUCACGUCUGUAAUGGUGUGGCUCUAUGCUUCAAACCGUCUUCUAUCAAGACAAAUCUCUGACAAUUUGACCUCAAAUCGGGUGGGACUACCCGCUGAACUUAA